rnacentral:rRNA from 1 species
AGGUAGCAUAAUCAAUUGUCCCUUAAAUUAGGACUAGUAUGAAUGGCACCACGAGGGUUUAACUGUCUCCCCCUUUUAAUCAAUGAAAUUAGUCUUCCCGUGAAGAAACGGGAAUAAAGAUAUAAGACGAGAAGACCCCAUGGAGCUUCAAACUUAUUAAUACUUAUUUCUUAUUGUAACAUAUUAAUUAAAUAUACUACAUUUAAUAGUUUUCGGUUGGGGAAACCCUGGAGAAAAAUUUAUCCUCCAGAUUGAAAGAACUAAUAAUACUUAUAUUAGAAUUACAAUUCAAAUAAACAAAAACUUGACAAAACUGACCCAGUAAUUAACUGAUCAAUGAACCAAGUUACCCUGGGGAUAACAGCGCAAUCCAUUUCAAGAGUCCUUAUCGACAAAUGGGUUUACGACCUCGAUGUUGGAUCGGGAUACCCUAGCGGCGCAGCCGUUGCUAAUGGUUCGUUUGUUCAACGAUUAAAACCCCACGUGAUCU